UUCAUUUCUCUGUCAACUCAUGUCACAUGACUUGAAUUGACCAACAAUUAAAGCAGACCUGCUGCACYUGCUGAUCUACUGGUGUAACAGAUUGUGGAAAAGCAUCAUCAGCAGCACUGGACCAAUCAGGAGAGAGAAGACACAGAGGACUGAGGAGACAGAAAAAACAUCCUGCUGAAAAUCCAGAGGCUUAACAGGAGGAGACCUGAGGACGUGUGCAGAAUAAAGAGACGGACAUCGUGUGAAGUGGAUYCUCAGCCUGUUAACCUCCACCUUCAACACCACCUGUAAGGUGGAGGUAGAUAAGAGAACCCACUUGACGAAAAAAUUGACCAACAAUUAAAGCAGAAGACCUGCUGCACCUGCUGAUCUACUGGUGUAACAGAUUGUGGAAAAKCAUCACUGAGACAAGACAACAGCACUGGACCAACCAGGACUGAGGAGACACAGAAAAUCCUGCUGGAAAUCCAGAGAUGAAGUUUCCUUGUGCAGCAAAGGGACACCUGAGGACACAGAAUAAAGAAGGACCAUGUGAAACUCAUGCAGAGGAUGGUCAGAGUUGUCCAUAGCUUUCUUGACUCUUAUGAAGAAUCCUUCUUUGCAUCAUCAUCUCCAGAGGUUCCACAGUCGUCUCCAGAACAGAACCAGAACAAAUCCAGCCCUCUUUAUCAGAUUGUUGAGCCUUUAGAGAUUCAUGGCUCUGAUGCUGCUGCACCAACAGAUGAUUGCAGAAGAGACAAGGCUCUCAACAGCAGACUUGUAGAUCUGCAGCAUCGUGCUGCAAACCUUGAAGGCUCUUGGCUUCCUGGAGAAGUGCAGUCUGCUCUGUCUCUUUGUAUAGACGCUUCACUGUUGCAUCUCCAGUCCAGUCUGUGUUCCAGAUGAACACAGAGGUAUUUAUAUUCCUGAACCACCUCCACAUCUUCUCCCAUGAUGGAAAUAGGGUUUGAUCCAAGCCUGUUUCUCCUGAAAUCAACAACCAUCUUUGUUGUUUUGUUUGCAGUCAAGAUUAGAUGAUUGUUCCCACACCAGGCCACAAAGCGGUCCACCAGACCUCUGAACUCGGCAUCGUCUUCCUCUGAUGCAACAGCUGCUGAGUCAUCUUGAGUAUUUCUGUAGAUGACAGAAGUCGGACUUGUGCUAGAAGACUGAAGUGUGUAGAAUGAAAAGGAAUGGUGAGAGUACAGAGCCCUGUGGUGUUCCUGUGCUGCUGACCAUCUGGUUAGACACACAGUCCUUCAGUCUCACACUGAGGUUUGUUUGUCAGGGUCCACCCAUCUGAACAAUUGGGUUUGCGGUUAUUGCUAACGCCACCUUGUGGCAGCGGUAAAACAUUACAACUAGACGGCUUUAAAUAAGCGGUAACAUUUAUUUGAACACAUUGAAAUGAUGAAGGAAUGAUGGUCAGACUUUAAUUUAUGAUCAUAAGCAGCACUGACAGAUGUGGCUUGUUACACUUGUUAUAAAUGUAAAAUUCUCAGACAUCUUUGAGUCUUCCCAGCUUGGAGAAGCUAACUUUACAGAAAGCUAGGAGUGUUUUUCUGGAAAGUUAGCAUGUUUCAGAAUUCUCCGACUUCUCUUCACUGGAUUAAACUGCACUGUAAAAGGCACUGCUUAAAACCCACUUUUUACAGCUUUUAUUUUGUCUGCAAAUAUUAAAAUAUGCACKUUAUUCAUCUAAAUCAGCUCCAGUUUACAAUACAGAUAUGAGRMGCAGGGUUUCCCCCAGUGCCCUGCGACAGACUGGCGACCUGUCCAGGGUGACCCCGCCUCUCUCCCAAAACGUUA